GAGAAAAAGAAAAACACAGUGAACUCACAACUUUCUGGUAUAAAACGAACGAAGCCUCUCGGAACUAAACCAUACGCUCCAAGUUCCCUGUUCAAGUAACACAGACUCACGAGAACUAUAACUAAAAUUUUCAAAAUGUUCAAGUUUGUGGUGUUUUUUGCUCUUCUCGCCAUUGCUGCCGCCGGACACUUAGGUUUGGGCUCUGAAUUGGUUUACUCUGCUGGUUUGCCAUCAAGCGGAUACGAAUAUACUCACACCAUUCAGGCCCCAGACUAUACCAACCAUGUUUCUGUCAGUGCUCCAUUGAACGGAAUUGCCAGGGCACAUCUUUCACCUUUGGUCCAGACCCUUUACCAUGCUCCUCUUGGUUACCAAGCUUGGUAAGUAACACAAUGAAUGAAGACUGACCGGAUGGCUAGAGAUUGGACUGAGAAUUGUUUAUUCAGGGAUACUUUGUGUGUUGUGAUAAAAUAAUAAAAUGAAUGAUAAUGAAAAAAACCUUUA